AGCCUUUCGAAUCCGUGCUGAGAUUUCUUCAGACAUCAACUCAUUAGGGUUGAUCAAACUUGCAAGGUAAGCGAAGUU
rfam:Schistosoma mattheei strain Denwood, Zambia genome assembly, scaffold: SMTD_scaffold0009064